ACAAAAAAAUAAAACAAAACGCAAUAUUUCUCUCUCGACCCAAAUCAACUCGCGAUGAACAAACCCUCAGCGCCGUCCUCUACCGCCGACAACGAUUGAACCCUCAGCAACCUAAAAUCAACUCACCACCACCGCCUUAUCUCAGUUGUCCUCUCUCUCUCUCUGUCACUCGUCAAAUCGAAGCUUCUCACUUGAACCCUAACUCCAAAUCGAAGCUAUAAGGGAAACAAAUUGAAAAUUCUCUCCGCUCUCACUAUUGUCCUUCUUUUUCCGGCCUCUACUCUCACGAAUCGAAGCUUGUCUUUCUCUUUCACUAUUGUCAAACCUUCUUCGAUUCAGAAGUUCAGCCAUGGAGUGGAGUUUGUUCUUUUGUUAUCAUUUAAUGCGGGUGCCUUAGAUAACCAAGUGGAACAUGCAUUGGUGUCUCUAGCAACGGUGAUGCCGGAAUCUCCUUCCUUGAUUGUACAAUGUACACAAGGUAUGUUUUCAGUUUGACUAACACUUAUUCAGAUGUUGCCUUGUUAGCCAUUUUGUUACUGGAUCUUUUAGCAUAAUCAGUUGUCAUAUAAUUCUAGUUUAUAUCAGAAUAAUCAGUUGUCAUAUUUUCCUAAUCCUUUAUGUUUGAACUUUUAAGCUUAAGUAAAAUGAAUUUCUAUCCUACCAUAAUAUGUUCAAUAUCAGAGACCUUUAGGGGGUCUUUCCUCAAGUGGCACGAACCGAGACAUGUGAUGAUAUUCUUCAACAGGUCAUUUUUCUAUUUGGUUAUACCGGGUUAGUGUAUAACUAUUUUGAUUUGGUGACUAUUUUGAUUUAUUUCUCAUUUAGUUUCAUUUGGAUUUGUGGGUUUCGUGCAGGUUGAUGACCCUCGACUUAUUCAAAGAAUUUCAAUUGCAGCAUCAGGCAGGCGAUAGCUACAAAGACUAAGACGCCUCAUGAUGCAUGUGAUAGACUGAUGUGGUACAAGAGAAGCAAAGAUUGAUUGAUUUUGCAGAAGCACUUCGUAGUAAUGUAGUAUCACUCAUAGUUUUCUUAUAAGUGGGUACAUUUCACUAGAAUAUUGUAAUCUGCAUCGUAUAAUUUAAAUAUAAGUUAUACUCUAUAAAGGUAAGUUUUCAGUAAUAACAGAAAGAUACUGCAUUCUGAUAAGUAGGUACACUUGGCCAUGCAUAGAGUAGACUAUAUUGCCUAUUAUUCCAUUGACA